GUUGGUUUUGGCAGCGCGAGGACUAGGGUAAUGAUUAAUAGGGAUAGUUGGGGGCAUUAAUAUUUAAUUGUCAGAGGUGAAAUUCUUGGAUUUAUGAAAGAUUAACUUCUGCGAAAGCAUCUGCCAAGGAUGUUUUCAUUAAUCAAGAACGAAAGUUAGGGGAUCGAAGACGAUCAGAUACCGUCGUAGUCUUAACCAUAAACGAUGCCGACCAGCGAUUAGGAGACGUUGAAUACAAAACACCACCAUCGGUUGCGGUCNUCCUUG
rnacentral:rRNA from 1 species